UUAACCCUGAAUUUGGACGAUUACUCUAGAAUAGUGAAAAAUUGGAAUCGUAGGCAAUUUAAAAUGAAGUACAUGUUUCCGAGCAAACUAAUAAGAAAAUAGACAAAAUAAAUAAGAUAAGGGGGAUAACAAACUAGAAAAAAAACCGACAAAAUAAAAUAAAAAAUAAUAGUGCAUAAUAAACUAAAAAUAAAACAGAUAAGUCUCACAAGUAAAAUAAAAACAACUAACAGAAAAUAAAAGUACAACUGAAAAUAAAAAUAAACAUAAACAAAUAAAAAACUAAAUUAAAUCAGUUAACGGAGUCUGGUGAGAUGUCAAGAUCGCGAGGCGCAUGACUAGGUGGAGAAAUAUGGAAAUGCUGGCAUAUCCAUUGCAGAUACACCUCAAUGACAUCAACCUGUGCUAAUUGCUGCCUGAUAUGCUCCAAAUGUAACUACUUAAGUCGAUCUAUCCAUUGUGACUGCUGCUACUGAAGGCAAUAAAUAUCGUCGAGUAUGACCAAAUGCGCAAGCUUAGCAGUAGAAUGAUUUACAGGAGGACUAGGAACGGGUCUCGAUGGUAGUGGAAGGUCAUUUUCUAGAUGCUCAUAGUCCUCAUGCUACUAGUUCAGAUACAACAACACAUACUGAUUACCAAAAGGCCUGGGCCGACGAGUGACCAUCCUAAUAUGUUUCAUUAUAUUCAAGCCUUGUGGUGCCAUGCCCCCUACCAAAGAAAGAGUACCAAUUUUCUUGGGGUCUCGAGGAGGCCAAAGUAACAAACCAAGCGUGUUACAUAUGGGCUCAUACAGAUAGGUCAUCUCCGUGAUCGCUCACUUUGAUGGCGACAACACUGGGCUACGAAGUGGGAUAGAUCAACCGGGUGUUGCUCAUGCAUGCUCUAUAAGAAAUAUGCAUCUAAAGCUCCCAUGAUGCUCAUACUCUCCUUCCAACAAGUCAAAGUAUGAGUUAAAAUGACGUGAAUGUAUCGCAGGGCUAAAGGGAGGCACUGAGCCUUAGAUUAGCUCAGGUUGUAUGGAGUGGCAACCUCAUAUAUGUCAAACCAGCAAAAAGAGACCGAUUUAUGGAUGUGCUAUGGGAGGGUGGAGAACUAAGGCAUGGCCAAAAAAUUAUUAGAUUAUAGGUCGAGAGUGACACCAAAUCCUGCAAUACUAAAAUGCCAAGUAUUACCCCCAAGACGGAAUGAUAUAGCUCGUGGUUCUUCCCUCGAUGAUAGCACUAUCUGUAGAAAAAAGUAGAGCAAAACUCUAAGGUAAGCUCAACAUAAGUCGACUUCAUGAUCACGAAAAAUUGAUCCAUAGAGUCGCAGCCAAAAGUGAAUGAACCAGUGGAAUAAACCCACAGUCUGAAGGGCUCCCCAGUCGAUACAAUGACCUAAACCCAAUGCUCUGUCCUUCAGAUGUCGGUACCUCUCUUCAUGGGGUGGGUGGUCGAAGGUGAGGUAUUGGUGGCAAGUGGUUGCGGUUAUUAACAUGAGGUCCCAAUAGCCUUUCGUUUCUUUGAAUGAGUGUUCAACAUUUAUGUACCUUAAAACAGAUGAAAACUACAUAUAUGAAGACCAAGACAAAUUAUUGCAGUAGAUGAAUAACCCGAAAUAUGAAACAUAAUAGACCAAGUUUAGACCAUCCGAAAAUGAAAUCGACUCACAACUAAAAUCUAAAUAAAUCAAAAGGAAAUAAUUAAAAAAAUUACUCUAAUACUAAUAUAACAACCAACUAAACAGAAUAACAAUUAGACAAAACAAUAAAAACAACAAUAAUUAUAAUAAUAGUAUUAAAAAUAAUAGUACUGUAAUAAUAAUAAAAAUGCUAAUAAUAGUUGUAGGUACCCAAAUUUACCCGAGCCCAAAAUCGUUAAUCAACCCAAACACAAAAAAGAAUAAAAAAACAAAAAUCCAAUCUACAAAUGGCCCAAAUAAAAAUUUUAAACCCCUAACCCAAAACCCGGAUAGCCCUAUAGGCCCAAAACCGAAGCCAAUUUCGAAACCCUAGUUUCCCCUAGUGUCGUACCCCUCCCACGUGCGUCGUCGGCGCGUCCAACGCCCGAGGUUCGGCUCCCCUUUGUCCCGUUGCUCCAAAACGGCCAUUUACGGCCCCGUUGACCUUUGUGCGUCUGCAAAAGAAAGCAAAAAAAAAAAGAAACAAAACAAGACCACAAAGCAAAAAGGAAGCAAAGAAACAACAAAGGCAUAGGCAAUAGUAAUAACGUUAAAUCAAGUGUAUUUUUUUCUGCUAUAUAAGCCCAGAAACAAAAUGUUGUAAAGGGUACACACAGCAUAUUGAGCAAUCAAAAAGCAAAAAAAAAAAAAAGGUUGACUGUUUCUAUUUUUCAUUUUCGUUUCAUUUUAUAUUUUUCAUUUUCGUUUCAUUUUAUAUUUUUUUAUUUUAUAUUUUUUUUAUUUUCUAUUACAAAUUUAUUUUAAACAAAAUAAGAGAAGAAACCUCACUGGAUAAUCCCACGUCACAUCAACGGAUCUAUUCCCCGUCGUCAAAAUCGGACUUAUAAGGGAGGGGGAGAGGCCUUUUCUUUUGCAUUUUCCGAGUUUGGAGGGCUUUGCUUUCGGACUCUCUUAAAAAGGGUUGAAAAUCUGGCCUUCGUGUGGCUCCGACCACCGUCCACGAUGGAGCCACGGCGAUUAUGGCGACGACGAUGAUGGGUUGAGAAACCCUAGCACAGAAAAUUUAUAGAAAGAGGGGCUGCUCAAAGGGAAGAAAUAAAAAAAAAGUGAAAAUUUUAGUUUAAAUAGCAGUGCCGUUUUGCACCAUAGGCACUAGCACUAAAACGGCGCCGUUUAAGGCACCCCGUGCGCGACCCGACCCUCUCCAUGGGGUGUCCGCGCAUUUCCAUGAAAAGGGUUAUUUACACCCCUAGUCCCUCUAUUUUUU
rnacentral:lncRNA from 1 species